ACACUGUCCAUGUCAGGGGGGGAUACCAUGAUAAGCAGGUCUUCCUAGGGCCAGGCCUGCCUAUAGGCAGAUUGCCUCCUCUGAGUUUCCCAAACGUGGGAAACUUGACCGCACAAUUUUGUGGUAAUGGGGAACCACAUUUGUGCUUUCCCC
rnacentral:snRNA from 1 species